CAAUAGCGUAUAUUAAAGUUGUUGCAGUUAAAAAGCUCGUAGUUGGAUUUCUGGUGUCUUUUUGCGUUUCCUUCUUUGCCAGCGAAAUGCUGGUGUUGGUCGCAAUGGAUGCCUUCUUUCUCCGCUAAUUUGUCGCUGAAUCAUUAGUUUGGCUCGGUGAUGAAUGGGGAUCAUUUACUGUGAAAAAAUUAGAGUGUUCAAAGCAAGUAUUAUUUCUUGAAUACAUUAGCAUGGAAUAAUAAGAUAGGACUUGGGUAAUAUUUUGUUGGUUUGCAUAUCCAGGUAAUGAUUAAUAGGAACAUAUUGGGGAUAUCUGUAUUUUUUAGUCAGAGGUGAAAUUCUUGGAUUUAAGAAAGACAAACUACAGCGAAAGCAUUUAUCAAGGAUGUUUNCAUUGA
rnacentral:rRNA from 1 species